UAUAAGCAAUUAUACCGUGAAACUGCGAAUGGCUCAUUAAAUCAGUUAUCGUUUAUUUGAUAGUACCUUACUACUUGGAUAACCGUGGUAAUUCUAGAGCUAAUACAUGCUGAAAACCCCAACUUCGGGAGGGGUGUAUUUAUUAGAUAAAAAACCAACGCCCUUCGGGGCUUCUUGGUGAUUCAUGAUAACUUUACGGAUCGCAUGGCCUUGCGCCGGCGACGGUUCAUUCAAAUUUCUGCCCUAUCAACUUUCGAUGGUAAGGUAUUGGCUUACCAUGGUUUCAACGGGUAACGGGGAAUUAGGGUUCGAUUCCGGAGAGGGAGCCUGAGAAACGGCUACCACAUCCAAGGAAGGCAGCAGGCGCGCAAAUUACCCAAUCCCGACACGGGGAGGUAGUGACAAUAAAUACUGAUACAGGGCUCUUUUGGGUCUUGUAAUUGGAAUGAGUACAAUUUAAACCUCUUAACGAGGAACAAUUGGAGGGCAAGUCUGGUGCCAGCAGCCGCGGUAAUUCCAGCUCCAAUAGCGUAUAUUAAAGUUGUUGCAGUUAAAAAGCUCGUAGUUGAACCUUGGGUCUGGCUGGCAGGUCCGCCUCACCGCGUGUACUUGUCCGGCCGGGCCUUCCUUCUGGAGAACCUCAUGCCCUUCACUGGGCGUGUUGGGGACCAGGACUUUUACUUUGAAAAAAUUAGAGUGUUCAAAGCAGGCCUUUGCUCGAAUACGUUAGCAUGGAAUAAUAGAAUAGGACGUGCGGUCCUAUUUUGUUGGUUUCUAGGACCGCCGUAAUGAUUAAUAGGGACAGUCGGGGGCAUCAGUAUUCAAUUGUCAGAGGUGAAAUUCUUGGAUUUAUUGAAGACUAACUACUGCGAAAGCAUUUGCCAAGGAUGUUUUC
rnacentral:rRNA from 1 species